UGCAGCAGUGGGGAAUGUUGGGCAAUGGGCAAGGCGCCUGAUCCAGCCAUAUAGAGUGAAUCAGCGUCAAUGAAAUUGACGUAAAGAAAAAGAAAAGUUCUGGAGGUAAGUAAAAUAAUGAUACAACUUACCUAUAAAUCCUGACCAACCUCGUGCCAGCAGUCGCGGUAAGACGAAGAGGAUAAGCGUAAUUCAUUAUAUCUAGGUGUAAAGGGUCUGUAGGCGGCGUAAUGCUAGAGUGUAACAUAGGAAAAGAGGAAUUAAGUAAGUAGGGAUAAAAUCCAAUGAGAUAUUUAGGAAGGACAUGCGAAGGCAUCUUUCUAUUAACACUGACGCUAAGGGACUAAAGUGUGGGUAGCGAAAAGGAUUAGAUACCCCAUUAGUCCACA
rnacentral:rRNA from 1 species